rnacentral:rRNA from 1 species
UAACCUGCCUUUAAGACGAGGAUAACAGUUGGAAACAAUUGCUAAGACUGGAUAGGAAGUUAAAAGGCAUCUUUUAAUUUUUAAAAGACCUUUUUCGAAAGGUAUGCUUAAAGAGGGGCUUGCGACACAUUAGUUAGUUGGUAGGGUAAAAGCCUACCAAGACUAUGAUGUGUAGCUGGACUGAGAGGUCGAACAGCCACAUUGGGACUGAGACACGGCCCAAACUCCUACGGGAGGCAGCAGUAGGGAAUUUUCGGCAAUGGAGGAAACUCUGACCGAGCAACGCCGCGUGAACGAUGAAGUAUUUCGGUAUGUAAAGUUCUUUUAUUGAAGAAGAAAAAAUAGUGGAAAAACUAUAUUGACGCUAUUCAAUGAAUAAGCCCCGGCAAACUAUGUGCCAGCAGCCGCGGUAAUACAUAGGGGGCAAGCGUUAUCCGGAAUUAUUGGGCGUAAAGGGUGCGUAGGCGGUUUAAUAAGUCUGUAGUUUAAUUUCAGUGCUUAACACUGUCCUGCUAUAGAAACUAUUAGACUAGAGUGAGAUAGAGGUAAGCGGAAUUCCAUGUGUAGCGGUAAAAUGCGUAAAUAUAUGGAGGAACACCAGAGGCGUAGGCGGCUUACUGGGUCUUUACUGACGCUGAGGCACGAAAGCGUGGGGAGCAAACAGGAUUAGAUACCCUGGUAGUCCACGCCGUAAACGAUGAGUACUAAGUGUCGGGGAAACUCGGUACUGAAGUUAACACAUUAAGUACUCCGCCUGAGUAGUACGUACGCAAGUAUGAAACUUAAAGGAAUUGACGGGACUCCGCACAAGCGGUGGAUCAUGUUGUUUAAUUCGAAGAUACACGAAAAACCUUACCAGGUCUUGACAUACUCUGCAAAGCUAUAGCAAUAUAGUGGAGGUUAUCAGGGAUACAGGUGGUGCAUGGUUGUCGUCAGCUCGUGUCGUGAGAUGUUAGGUUAAGUCCUAAAACGAGCGCAACCCUUAUCGUUAGUUACCAGCAUGUUAUGAUGGGGACUUUAACGAGACUGCCAAUGAAAAAUUGGAGGAAGGUGAGGAUCACGUCAAAUCAUCAUGCCCCUUAUGAUCUGGGCUACAAACGUGAUACAAUGGCUGUUACAAAGAGUAGCUAAAACGCGAGUUUAUAGCCAAUCUCAAAAAAACAGUCUCAGUUCGGAUUGAAGUCUGCAACUCGACUUCAUGAAGUUGGAAUCGCUAGUAAUCGCGAAUCAGCAUGUCGCGGUGAAUACGUUCUCGGGGUUUGUACACACCGCCCGUCAAACCACGAAAAUCGGUAAUACUCGAAAGC